rnacentral:rRNA from 1 species
AGAGUUUGAUCAUGGCUCAGAACGAACGCUGGCGGCAGGCCUAACACAUGCAAGUUGAACGGGAUUUGUAUGGUGCUUGCACCAUGUAAUGAGAGUAGCGCACUGGUGAGUAACACGUGGGAACAUACCUUGAAGUGGGGGACAACAGUUGGAAACGACUGCUAAUACCGCAUAAUCCCUGAGGGGGAAAGAUUUAUCGCUUUAAGGAUUGGCCCGCGGAAGAUUAGGUAGUUGGUGGGGUAAAGGCCUACCAA